UACGUAGGUGGCAAGCGUUUUCCGGAAUUUUUGGGCGUAAAGCGCGCGCAGGCGGUCCUUUAAGUCUGAUGUUAAAGCCCACGGCUCAACCGUGGAGGGUCAUUGGAAACUGGGGGACUUGAGUGCAGAAGAGGAGAGUGGAAUUCCACGUGUAGCGGUGAAAUGCGUAGAGAUGUGGAGGAACACCAGUGGCGAAGGCGACUCUCUGGUCUGUAACUGACGCUGAGGCGCGAAAGCGUGGGGAGCAAACAGG
rnacentral:rRNA from 1 species